AUUGAACGCUGGCGGCAUGCUUUACACAUGCAAGUCGAACGGUAACAUGGACUUCGGUCUGAUGACGAGUGGCGAACGGGUGAGUAAUGCAUCGGAACAUGCCUAGGUGUGGGGGACAACUACUCGAAAGAGUAGCUAAUACCGCAUACGAUCUAAGGAUGAAAGCGGUGGACCUUUGGGCCUCGCGCACUUAGAGUCGCCGAUGUUAGAUUAGGUAGUGGGUGGGGUAAAGGCUCACCAAGCCGACGAUCUAUAGCUGGUCUGAGAGGACGACCAGCCACACUGGGACUGAGACACGGCCCAGACUCCUACGGGGGGCAGCAGUGGGGAAUUUUGGACAAUGGGCGCAAGCCUGAUCCAGCAAUGCCGCGUGCAGGAAGAAGGCCUUCGGGUUGUAAACUGCUUUUGUACAGAGCGAAACGGUGAAGGAUAAUACCCUUUGCUAAUGACGGUACUGUAAGAAUAAGCACCGGCUAACUACGUGCCAGCCGCCGCCGUAA
rnacentral:rRNA from 1 species